rnacentral:misc_RNA from 1 species
CACCAGUCCACUUGCACCUACAACAUUACCAUCACAGCCAACUUGCUUGCUCAGAACACAAGACUCCAAUUGCUCCAGACUGUUGUUUAGGAUGUUUCUUGCUUUUGAUCUCCGUUUCUUCUUCUUGGAUUUGAUUUGUGCUUGUGCUUCCAGUUCAAUUGAAGGCUGUAUUUCUAGUCCAUUAGCUCCUACCUUAUGAGCAUUGCCAUCUAUCUGCUUUCCAAGCUGGUCACUUGCAUGGCUUCUUUGUUCCCUAAAAGCAUAGAUAUCAUCAGCUUCAAUCUGUCUCCUUCUACUAGACCUUCGUUUUCUUUUCUUGGAUUUCACCUGUUUCUUUAUUUCCACUUCCCCUUCUGUGCCUACAUGAACAUCAUAACCUUGCCUCUUCUCCCCGACAAUGCAACUCCCUAGCUUCUCAACAUUGGUGCAUUUAUCCAUUUUCUGAGUCUCACAUUUUGAGUGAUUCCUAUGAAUGGAAUGCUCCAACUCCACAACAUUGUUAUCUGGGACACCAAAACCUUCACUCCGUUUUCUUUUCCUUAAUCUCCUUUUCGCUUUUUUAGAUUGAAUUUCUAUUCUUAUUUCCUUAACUCCAUCAGCACCUGCAUGGUUACCAUCUCUCCGUUCACUGAGAAUGCUCUGCUUCAAUUUCUCUGUGUUGUGUGGAACACCUUCACCUUCACUUCUUCUUUCUUUAAAUCUGUCAUCAAUGAAGUUCUUAUUAUCUUUGCUCCAUUUCUUUUUCCAGGCAUUAACUUUUGUUCGGAUUCCCCCCAAUCUAUAUGCAUCUACACGGAAACCAGGUCCCUUGUAUCCACAGAUAUCUUCUUGUUUGGCGGGAUAACACGAAGACACAAGUCGAUGAGCCAAAUUUGCCAGAUGGGGACCUGAAAUGGACUUUGGGAUUGGCCUUCUAGAAGAUACCCCUUUGGAAACAACUGUCUCAUGCCAAAUAUGUGGUGGUGAAAUUUCCUGUUCGCCAACAGACUGGCAGGGAAAAAACAAUCAAGUUAAAAUUUAUUCAUGAAAUUUCAGGCAAAAAAAAAAUGAAUCACAUACCUUGCCAGGCAAGAUCACUUCCUCUGGUAGUUUUGAGAUAUGACAAUGAAACACUGGGUACUUGUAUGAGAUAGAUCUGCAAACAAUAGUUCCUAAAAAAAUAAGGAUAGCUCUGCAGGAAAGCAAAAGUACCAAAUCCAGAAACUUACAUGACUUCAUUAUUUGCAAUCAUCUGCAUGCUUUCAAUUGGUGAAUAUACUUCCGCAGGCCACACAGAUUUAUCAGAAUUACAAAUAAAUCCAUUCAUUCCACCGCUGAUUUUUGGGUCAAUUUUCUGUAACACAUUAGGAUGACAAUUCUGCUUAGAAAAUUGAAUUAUAAUAUCGGCCAGAGGAUGUGAAAUAUGAACAAAUAGGAUAUCCAAAUCCAAACUGUUUCUCUGUCUUUCAUCAUCCGUCAAUUCGUGCUCCACUUGAGCAACUGCUGAAAGAAGACGGGACUCUUCAAUGAAUGGCAAUAUGCAAACUGCCUGCCAUUUACGACGUUUUCCAUUCAAAUCAAGCCUAAAAUCAGAAGGAUAAAAGUCCAGUAUAGGAGACGAUGCAUCUGUCAUGAAUUUCCUGUAAGAUAAGGGAAGAGCACAUGCGCUUGCAGCAGGCAAUACAGCCAUUAAUUGGUCAAAUGGCUUGAAAGGUUCUCCAAGUGUGAAGUGAAUUUCCAACUGAUCAAGACCGUAAAAAUCUGACGCAAAUGGUGCAUAAUGAUAAGGGUAGAACCACUGCCAAGAGCACACUUCAUGGUAGUAGUACCUCAUGACCCAACAAAUCCCUUCUAUAUAUUUUAAAACCACAUGCCUCCGAACUCUCUCUUGCUCAUCUUUGGUCUUGGCCUCAAACUUUUUUGCAUAAUAUCUUUCUUUCCAAUCAUCUUCUCCCAGUUUCAUCUUGUCAGCUAAAAUAUCUGCUUCCUUGGAUAAACGGUGGAUUGAGUCUUCAAAAUUCAUGCCUCCAGAUUCUUCCACUGAAGGUGAAGAUCCAUGACUUGUGGAAUGUGAAUUACGAUCAUUCUGCAGCAAUUUUGCGAGCUUCCUAUUUAAAAAGCGCUGUUUCUUCUCUUUCAUUAUCUGGCUCCUUUUCCUAAAGAUUGCGCCUUCAUAUGAACUCACAGCUUGUAUAAAAUGCUCCACACGUGCCAAAUUUAUCUGAAAAGAAUCUGUCAAGUAACCACCCAUUUUCACAAAUUCCUUCUUGUACACCAUCAUGAGCAAAUCAAUAGCGCCCUCAGAUAUUGCCAGAGUUGGUAAGUGUGGCAGAAAAUCAUUUCCAACAAACAAGCACAUUAAGACAAAAUCAUCAAUCAGCCGCUCCAGCUCUGUCUCAAAUGUCAAGCCUGGGAUGCUCAUAUCAUACUCUAAAUACUCCCUCAAAACCCAUAUGUUUAGAAACUCAAAAUUCAGCCCCAAGAUGUAAUCAUCUAAAUUCUCAGCAAUCCUCCCCUUCUUUGCUAAAUUUGCAUUUCCUUUUUUCCAAGUUUGAUUUGCAUUUCCUUUCUUGGAUUUACCCUUUUUCCCUUUACUCAAAGAACUGACCUUUUCUCUUCUUCUGUAAACAUACUCUCUUAGAAUUGAGAAAUGGACUUCAUGUGCAGCCAAUGCAAGCAUGAUCAGAUCAGCAUCCAUUCCAUACAAGCAAUGCCGUGUAUUUGGAUUGUAUCCAGGCAAAUCUCUUUGCAAUCGGAUGUAAGACAAUACCUUGUGCUCCCCUUCACCAGGUACAUUGGCAUCAGAGAGAAUGACCUUUAUUCCCCGCCAGGCUGAAUCCCCAUUCAUCCUCAACCGUAUGUAAUACCUAAGUGCCGAUGACAAUAAAGCCAUGAACUCAGUUCCAGGUGUGAUUACAUUUGAGUCCAUCUUCUUUAGUUGCUCUGAAAGGGCAGGUUUUUCUUCAGAUUUUUCCAUUUUCAAGGCUUUCUCAGCUGCUUCUUUAGCAGCCAUGAAACGCCUUGAUCGUUGUUGAUUCAUCUUAGCUCGCGGAGCAACACCAUCGAUUGCCAAGUAUAAAAGCUUGCGAGGCCUAACUAUGGAGAAGAUCCUAUCAAUGUACUUGAAAAUGUAUUUGAAAACCUCGUCAUAGGUCGUGGGGGCCGGCAAAUCUUCAGGGUGGAAGCAAGGGUGGAUAAUGCCAUUCAUGUCGAGAUAGAGGUUAUCGAAUUCGAAGCCAUUUGGAUUGGGAAGAGACACGUCGACUGGAAGAGCAACGCCGUUCACCACCCUCGGACGUUCUUCGAUGACGUCCACCGCCAUACGCGGAUACUUAUCCGUCAACCAUUUGUAGAAAGACGGAAUUCCCAUUUUCUAAUCUAUGAUAUCUAUUAUGAUUAUGGAGUCCAGUAUGACUAGGUGCAAGUGUUGCAGAAUUAGCUGGAAGCAGCGUGCGGCUAGGUUGCUAGGGUUCUCGGAACAAAC